UAGAUUUAGAUUAUAUUUGUAUUUCAGACUCUGGGCUCUGUAAAGAAGUCAUGGCAAGACAUUGCAUUUUAUAAGUCUGUUUUUCAUUUGUUUGUUUAAAGCAAUGUUCAAAUGCCUCCCUGAUAUUACUCUCUACUGUAUUUGUACAGAUUGUGGAUCAAAGAAGGAUUGUACCGUUUUUUUUGUUUUUGGAGUGGCUCCUCAUCCAGGUCUGGGUGAAAACUGAACACUGACACAACUGACAACUCACAUCAAGGUUCCCUCGCACUAGUUGGAUCUUUUGUUUCUUCUUUUGUAGUCUUCUCCCAGUGUUGGCACCAUGGGGGCCGGUGGUUAUUUGUACUACCGUACAACAAUUUUUUCCUCACUCUUUGUCGGGUAUGCCUUGUACUACUUCAACAGAAAAACAUUCUCUUUUGUGAUGCCUUCAGUCAUGGAGGAGAUUGAACUUGACAAAGAUGACCUUGGUUUAAUCUCCAGUAGCCAGACGCUGGCCUAUGCAAUUAGCAAAUUCAUUAGUGGAGUUCUUUCUGACCAAAUCAGUGCCCGCUGGCUGUUCUCUAUCGGACUCUUCAUAGUUGGAGCGAUCAACGUGCUCUUCUCAUGGUCUUCCACAGUCACUUUAUUUACAGUGCUGUGGUUUUUGAAUGGCCUUGGCCAAGGAUUUGGUUGGCCACCAUGUGGUAAAGUACUCCGGAAGUGGUUUGAGCCAUCUCAGUUUGGAACAUGGUGGGCUGUUCUGUCCUGCAGUAUGAACCUGGCUGGAGGAGUGGGUCCCAUCGUGGCCACGGUGUCGCUCCAAUACUACACCUGGAGGGGUGUUCUCCUUGUGUCUGGUCUAAUCUGCAUGGCCAUUGCCUUUCUGUGUCUUCUGUUCGUGAAGAAUGAACCCAGUGAUGUGGGCCUUCCAAACAUUGAGCCUGGGGCCAAAAAAGGCAAAGGAGGCACUCCAAAGGAUGAGAGCACCCUCAAAGACUUUCUUCUGUCCCCUUAUUUGUGGGUGUUGUCCUUGGGCUACCUGGUCGUGUUUGGUGUGAAGAUAGCAUGCACUGAAUGGGGCCAGCUCUUCCUCAUCCAAGAGAAAGGACAGUCAGUACUAAUGGGAAGUUCUUAUAUGAGUGCCUUGGAGGUGGGUGGAUUUAUUGGCAGCCUUGCAGCUGGUUUUCUGUCUGACAGAGCUGUUGCUCAGUAUGGACUGAGUACUCACGGUAGUCCCAGACACGGUCUUCUGUUCUCAAUGAUGACUGGGAUGUUUGUAUCCAUGUAUCUCUUCCGAGUGACAAUCACAGCAGAGUCCCCCAAAGAUGAUGCUCUCUGGGUUGUGGCUCUUCAUCCCAUCUCUCUUCUUAUUGGUCUUUCUGAAAAAGAGAUUUGGAUCCUUAUCCUUGGAGCUGCAUUUGGAUUCUCCUCUUAUGGACCCAUUGCCCUGUUUGGAGUGAUUGCAAGUGAAUCUGCACCAUCAAAUUUCUGUGGAACAUCACAUGCUAUUGUGGCUUUGAUGGCUAAUGGUAGGUAUCUUGGAUGUAUGCAGUUGGAGUAUGUCAGGAUUUCAAAAGAGGACCCAAUCGCAGAUCGAUCAAAGUAGGAUUUAUUCCACAAAAAACAGAGGAUCAAAAAGGCAAACACAAAAACAGGGCACACGACCACUGUAGGCUUCCACGCCGAAAAACACAAAAAGCUUCUGUAAGCUAACAGUUCAAAAAAGUACUCCUUCAAGGAGACUUCAGCAGGCAAAGUUACUUUCCAAAAAAAACACAGACAACUCACGGAACAGGGUAAGACAACAGUUGCGACAAUCCAACAGGGAACAUGAGGCAAGACAGGCUUAAAUAGGCAGGGUAAUCAUUGGGUACAGGUGAGGAGCAGAACAGGUGGAAACAGAACAAAGACAGGACAAGGGGCGGAGCACAUGGUAGCACAUGGCUACCACAACACAGGCACAUGGCUACCACAACAAAAACACAUGUCAAAACAGAAACAGAUGAGACAGAGUCCAAAUACUGACAGAGUAUGCAAUUAGGAUUUGAAAUCAAUCAAUCAAGGUAUAAUUUCAGACUAUAAAAUCCUAUUCAGUAAAACAUUUCCAUGAUCGCAAAGUUGCAUAUUUACGUAUCCACAGAGCAAGACAUAUCUGUCACCAGAAUUAGAUAGAUAGAUAGAUAUAUGGAUACUUUAUUAAUCCCGAGGGAAUAACACCUACAUAAGCAUACAGUCUCAUUUAAAUGAGCUAUUAAAAUAAUUCCAAUUGUACUUUAGACAUGUGUGCUAUCUAAAGCUUAGAUGAUUGCAUGCUGCAAGGUACUGAGUAAUAGAGAAAUCAUCUAUUGUGGUGAAGUCUAACCGUCUGGAUAUGCAAGUAUUGUCAGCACCACAACAGUGUAGCAGCCAAAAAAACACUGACAGCUACUUGGACAGAGACAGGGCUGAACAAGACAGGGCAGCAGACAUUUUGCAGAUGCUUUUGCAAAGGUUGAGUUGGUGGGCAUAUUUGACUGGUACUUUACCCUUAUGUUGUUGUGCCAAAGGUUGAGUUGGUGGGCAUAUUCGACCAGUACUUUACCCUUAUGUUGUUGUACCAAAGGUUGAGUUGGUGGGCAUAUUCGACUGGUCGCUUUAGUGCUGCAGUGGGCCAAAGUGCUGCACGAUUUUUAUUCCACUGGGGCUACACCGCUCUCCGUCCAACCCCCACCGUAGUACUUACUGCACGGAUCAUACUGCUCAGUGCACCAAGGUCACGUGAUCAAUCAGUGGUGGGCACAUAUAUGAAUAUACAUGAGUUUUUAUCAACUUAAGUGUUUUUUUAGCAUAACACAAUAAUAUAUUUUCAUAUGUUACGUAAUAUUUCAGCGCACAGACAACCGUAAGCACAGGCAGAAAUAUGGACAACCUUGGAGAUUUACCAGCUGCAGCCGAUCCAUAUAAUAUCAUCGUGUCAUUUUCACUUUCCACGCCACCUGCAGCCGAUCCAUAUAAUAUCAUCAUGUCAUUUUCACUUUCCACGUCACUACUGCCUUACAUUUCCUGUAAUAAAACGGCAGUGCACAGUGGGCUUCUCUUUCAUGAUCACGUGAUCAUGCUGUCAUACUCUACCAAAGGCCUUUUUCUUCUGUUCCACUGGUCAGGUUGAGUUGAGCACUUUUGGUUCACUGUGGCCUUAAGGUGCAGAGUUUUUAAUGUUUGAUUCAGCCCAUUAUUUGGAAGUUAUUUUAUGGUGCCAAAAGCCGGGAAGUUUAACUUCCGGGAUCUAGAAG